rnacentral:rRNA from 1 species
UACGUAGGGGGCAAGCGUUAUCCGGAUUUACUGGGUGUAAAGGGAGCGUAGACGGAUUGGCAAGUCUGAAGUGAAAAUACAGGGCUCAACCCUGUACCUGCUUUGGAAACUGUCGAACUAGAGUACCGGAGGGGCAGGCGGAAUUCCUGGUGUAGCGGUGAAAUGCGUAGAUAUCAGGAAGAACACCGGUGGCGAAGGCGGCCUGCUGGACGGUAACUGACGUUGAGGCUCGAAAGCGUGGGGAGCAAAC